AUUGAACGCUGGCGGCAUGCCUUACACAUGCAAGUCGAACGGCAGCACGGGAGCAAUCCUGGUGGCGAGUGGCGAACGGGUGAGUAAUAUAUCGGAACGUGCCCAGUCGUGGGGGAUAACGUAGCGAAAGCUACGCUAAUACCGCAUACGAUCUACGGAUGAAAGCGGGGGAUCGCAAGACCUCGCGCGAUUGGAGCGGCCGAUAUCAGAUUAGGUAGUUGGUGAGGUAAAGGCUCACCAAGCCGACGAUCUGUAGCUGGUCUGAGAGGAUGAUCAGCCACACUGGGACUGAGACACGGCCCAGACUCCUACGGGAGGCAGCAGUGGGGGAAUUUUUGGACAAUGGGCGAAAGCCUGAUCCAGCAAUGCCGCGUGAGUGAUGAAGGCC
rnacentral:rRNA from 1 species